rnacentral:rRNA from 1 species
ACGGAAGGCAGCAGUGGGGAAUAUUGCACAAUGGGGGAAACCCUGAUGCAGCGACGCCGCGUGAGUGAAGAAGUAUUUCGGUAUGUAAAGCUCUAUCAGCAGGGAAGAUAAUGACGGUACCUGACUAAGAAGCACCGGCUAAAUACGUGCCAGCAGCCGCGGUAAUACGUAGGGGGCAAGCGUUAUCCGGAUUUACUGGGUGUAAAGGGAGCGUAGACGGCACAGCAAGUCUGAAGUGAAAUGUAGGGGCUUAACCCCUGAACUGCUUUGGAAACUGUUGGGCUUGAGUACCGGAGGGGCAGGCGGAGUUCCUGGUGUAGCAGUGAAAUGCGUAGAUAUCAGGAAGAACACCGGUGGCGAAGGCGGCCUGCUGGACGGUAACUGACGUUGAUGCUCGAAAGCGUGGGGAGCAAACAGGAUUAGAUGCCCUGGUA